GCUUGAAUGAUGACUUUAAAUCUUUUGUCGGAUACCCCUUCACCUUUUUUAAUGGUUGAUAAUCCAGUUCUGACAAGC